GCAAGUCGAGCGGUAACAGGGGCGCUUGCGCCCGCUGACGACCGGCGCACGGGUGAGUAACACGUAUGCAACCUACCUUUUACAGGAGAAUAACCCAGAGAAAUUUGGACUAAUACUCCAUAACGUUUGUUAAUCGCAUGAUUGACAAAUUAAAGCUCCGGCGGUAAAAGAUGGGCAUGCGUCCUAUUAGUUAGUUGGUAAGGUAAUGGCUUACCAAGACUAUGAUAGGUAGGGGUUCUGAGAGGACAAUC
rnacentral:rRNA from 1 species